AGUGAACGCUGGCGGUAGGCCUAACACAUGCAAGUCGAACGGCAGCACAGGAGAGCUUGCUCUCUGGGUGGCGAGUGGCGGACGGGUGAGGAAUACAUCGGAAUCUACUCUGUCGUGGGGGAUAACGUAGGGAAACUUACGCUAAUACCGCAUACGACCUACGGGUGAAAGCAGGGGAUCUUCGGACCUUGCGCGAUUGAAUGAGCCGAUGUCGGAUUAGCUAGUUGGCGGGGUAAAGGCCCACCAAGGCGACGAUCCGUAGCUGGUCUGAGAGGAUGAUCAGCCACACUGGAACUGAGACACGGGCCAGACUCCGACGGGAGGCAGCAGUGGGGAAUAUUGGACAAGGGGCGCAAGCCUGAUCCAGCCAUACCGCGUGGGUGAAGAAGGCCUUCGGGUUGUAAAGCCCUUUUGUUGGGAAAGAAAUCCAGCUGGCUAAUACCCGGUUGGGAUGACGGUACCCAAAGAAUAAGCACCGGCUAACUUCGUGCCAGCCGCCGCGGUAA
rnacentral:rRNA from 1 species